UAUAUACAUAUACUGAGGCCAGAAGUGGCUGCAAAAUACAAAACGAAAUAUAAGAGCCACUUCUUUCACUAUGCUAUUGGACUCAUCAGAGUGCGAGAACAAUCAUACACUUAGACUUGUGGAUCCACGAGAUCCUCAUAGACUUCCAAGGGUAGGUCAGUCUGCGGAUCCUCACUUUCUACCUCAUCUAGGGGGCAUAGAAAGAGUGAGUUUUAUAUACUCAGUAAGGAAAACAAUAUUAAAUUAACAUCAUAAGA
rnacentral:lncRNA from 1 species